GACAGAGGUCCCAAGCGUUAGGCGGAAUCACUGGGCUUAAAGCGUGUGUAGGCGGAUUUGUAAGUACCUUGUGAAAUCCCACGGCUCAACCGUGGAACUGCUUGGUAUACUGCUUAUCUUGGGCCACUUAGGGGUUACCGGAACAAACGGUGGAGCGGUGAAAUGCGUAGAUAUCAUUUGGAACGCCAAUGGUGAAAACAGGUAGCUGGGGCUGUGCUGACACUGAGACACGAAAGCCAGGGGAGCGAACGGG
rnacentral:rRNA from 1 species